GUUGUAUCUGCCAGGUCAAGCUGGGUGCAAAUAUGCUCUGGAGUUGCUGAAAUGGAAGAGGAAUUUCACCAUGUCGAACUUCUCAUGAGAAAACAGCCCUCUCUUCUGUGUCCUCUUCCCGAGGAUGUGACCUCCUCCUUUCACCCUCCAUUAAAGACAGCCUGUCUGAGAAAAGCAGUGAGCCUGGAAAGUUUCUGGGGUAGGAAUCAUUUCUGGGUAAUGGGGAGAUUGUCUAGUCCUGAGGCACGGGCCAGCUGAACCAAUGUGAAAACACAUCGGGCUUGGUGAAUGUAAAAGGGAAUUUUUGUUACAUAAAAAAGCUCCAGGGCAGUGUUUUGCAUGAUAUCAAGGGAAGUUAAUAUAUGACAAGUAACUCACCCAAAAAAAGAAGAGAAAAGGUUAUACAAAGGACCUUUUUGUAUCUCCCAGGGCAGCACUAUGUCCAUGUUGCACUGUGACAGAAGUGUCAGCUUCUACAACUAAAAGUUCUUCUGUAAAAACCCAAGGGAAGGAACACUGAUUCUCCUUUAACAAUGUGGUUGUAAAUGAUUUUAAGGUAAUCAAAAUUGCCUAAGAUUUUUUGAUUUGCUUGCACUACUUCUGGCUGGUUGUCUAAAUUUAAUGGAAAUGUCUCAGAUCCAAAUGUUUAAUAAUCUCCUGGGUUGUCUGUUUCAACAAUAUGGCUAUUUCAGCAAUAAAGCGACAAUUAGAGAAUUGCA
rnacentral:lncRNA from 1 species